rnacentral:rRNA from 1 species
UACGGAGGGGACUAGCGUUGUUCGGAAUUACUGGGCGUAAAGCGCACGUAGGCGGAUUUGUAAGUCAGGGGUGAAAUCCCGGGGCUCAACCUCGGAACUGCCUUUGAUACUGCAAAUCUCGAGUCCGGAAGAGGUGAGUGGAAUUCCUAGUGUAGAGGUGAAAUUCGUAGAUAUUAGGAAGAACACCAGUGGCGAAGGCGGUGCUCUGGGCCGGAACUGACGCUGAGACGCGAAAGCGUGGGGAGCGAACAGG